rnacentral:rRNA from 1 species
CCUACGGGUGGCAGCAGUGAGGAAUAUUGGUCAAUGGACGAGAGUCUGAACCAGCCAAGUAGCGUGAAGGAUGACUGCCCUAUGGGUUGUAAACUUCUUUUAUCUGGGAAUAAAACGUUCCACGUGUGGGAUUAUGUAUGUACCAUAUGAAUAAGAAUCGGCUAACUCCGUGCCAGCAGCCGCGGUAAUACGGAGGAUCCGAGCGUUAUCCGGAUUUGUUGGGUUUAAAGGGUGCGUUGGUGGAUUGUAAAGUCAGUUGUGAAAGUUUGCGGCUCAACCGUAAAAUUGCAGUUGAAACUGGCAGUCUUGAGUACAGUAGAGGUGGGCGGAAUUCGUGGUGUAGCGGUGAAAUGCUUAGAUAUCACGAAGAACUCCGAUUGCGAAGGCAGCUCGCUGGACUGCAACUGACACUGAGGCUCGAAAGUGUGGGUAUCAAACAGGAUUAGAUACCCGGGUAGUC